UGUAUUUCUAGAAGAUAUAUCAUUCAAUUGUAUCAUUCAGUAGCUUGUAGAGCGCAUCUUCCUCAUUCUGGUGAAAUGUGCACAACAAGUAGCUACAAGCAAAGCUCACUAGUUACAUUCUAUAAAAUGUGCAAACUCGUGAUAAACGUUUGGAACAUAAUUGACUUUUAGUGUGCAAAGAACUUAUAUAUGUAUGGCAAGAAAGACUCCUUGGUUAACUUAGAAAUCUAAAUCUCAGAUGAAGAUGGUGGGGACAACUUUUACAUGUGUGCAGAUUGCAACACCCAAUGGUUCUCCAAAGGACGAAUGAAGUACAUGAAUGAAGUAACACUCAGUGUUGCAGAACUGAAUAUAAGUUAAAGCCUUGAAGAAAUCACACUACAAUGUUGCUGUGGACUACACGUCUUUAAAGAAGGUGUCAUUUAAAGUGGUUGCAAAGAGCCACGUUCUUAUAUUGUACAGGACAAAGCAACAGUUGUAACUAUUGUUAUUAUGUCACCGAUGGAACAUUGAAAAAAACACAAAUGUUUAUUGUAAUUGACCAAUCAUAGUGUAUUAAUAUUUAUGUAAAUAACUAUCGUUUUAUGUGUAAGUCAAACUGCUUCAGUUUGUAAAAUAACUAAAAGAAGAAAACCUAAUUUAUCUGAA